AUGACACUCCGUUAAACACUACAACUUGACAUUCGAUCAAACACGGACGCAAGGCAAGUCCUGGCUCACCAAGGAAUGGCGAUUCUUUGGAAUAUAAAUUACCUCGUUGAAAUGCUAAUGAAACUCUUUUUGGCUACCCAUUCCCAAGAGAGACCAGAUUGCUACAAAGGCUACAACAGUUUUGAUUAGUAAUUAUUUUGCGGAAGCCUAAGGACACCCGAAUUUGAAGUAUCAAAAGCACAAAGAUGCCAUCAAGUCUCAAGGUGUAUUCGAUCAGAAGCCAAACCGGAAUGGCCUUGCAAAAUCUGGAUCGUCGGGGUCAAACAACCCAUAGGCCAAAAUUGUUUUCGCGCGUUGAAAUGAACAACAUCAGACAAAAGAAAAGAGGGUCUAAAACAUCCAGUCCCUAAAAGUGACACUAAUAUGAAAAGAAUACAGGAAUCAGUUCAGGUUUUAUGGGAA